rnacentral:rRNA from 1 species
UACGGAGGGUGCAAGCGUUAUCCGGAUUCACUGGGUUUACAGGGUGCGUAGGUGGGCAGGUAAGUCAGUGGUGAAAUCUUUGGGCUUAACCCGAAAACUGCCAUUGAUACUAUUUGUCUUGAAUAUUGUGGAGGUCAGCGGAAUAUGUCAUGUAGCGGUGAAAUGCUUAGAGAUGACAUAGAACACCAAUUGCGAAGGCAGCUGGCUACACAUAUAUUGACACUGAUGCACGAAAGCGUGGGGAUCAAACAGG